GACGUAGGGCGCGAGCGUUGUCCGGAUUUAUUGGCGUAAAGAGCUCGUAGGCGGCUUGUCGCGUCGAAUGUGAAAUCUCCGAGGGCUCAACUCUGACAUUGCAUUCGAUACGGGCAGGCUCGAGUUCGGUAGGGGAGACUGGAAUUCCUGGUGGUAGCGGUGAAAUGCGUUGAUAUCCAACAGGAACUCCGGUGGCGAAGGCGGCACGCUGGACCCCACUGACGCUGAGGCGCGAAAGCCAGGGGAGCGAACGGG
rnacentral:rRNA from 1 species